UGUGUGACCCUGGAUAAAUCACUUAGCCUUUUAGUGUUCUAGUCAAUUCUCUAAAAAUGCAAGACACAGAGAAGGAAAAAAUCUGCAUUGGUAGAGAGAGUUUCCUUAGUUGGGAGUUCCCUAGACCAAUAAAGUAUCAGGCCUAGUCCCCAUCCUGUUAAUAUUUUAUUAUUAUUUCCUAUGGUCUACAUGCAAGAAGUGACAUAAAUUAUAACCCACAGCCCUCGAUUCUCCCUCUCUUAUUAAGGGGGGAAGAUCCUCACUUAUAACUUAUUCCCUGUUUCUUCUCUACAUAGAGGUAUCACCUUUGGGUGUCAAUAAGAGAAAUCAGUAAAGGGAACAAGGAUGUUCCUAUUUUAAGUAAGAAUGGUUGACAAUUCCAUAGUACCUGAAAACAUAGAAAGUGUUGCACAUGAGGGAACUGAAAUUUUUAGAGGUUCAGUGAUUUGACCAGGUCAUGUACCUAGUAAAUGUCUGAGGCAGAAUUCAAAUCCAGGUCUUCCUGACUGAAUAUAUAUAGCACUCUAUUCACUAAACCAUAAAUGGGAUUGCAUAUAGUCCCAUACUGAACCUAGGGAAGAAAGGUAGGAAGUAGGAAUAGAUAUUUACAUAGAAACUAUAUAUAUUUAUCUUUCUCCUUGGAGUCUCCAGCCAGGAUAGAAAAUCACCUGUGGCAGGUUCUCAAUGGAUUUCUUUAUUUUUUCUAAAGUCCUUUCAUAAGUAGUGAUAGUUGGGGAAGUACAAUAGCUAAUGAUUACUAAGAACUAGGUCCAGAGACUGACUCUGAAAAGUGAUGCAAGUUACUCUCUCUGAACCUCAGCUACCUUUGACUGGAAAUUAGUCAGGUUGCUUUCAGUGUCAGUAACAACUAGCCUGGUACUACUUGUAAAGAAAUACUUCAGUUAGAAAGGGGUCCACCAUUGGCAGUUUAACCCCAAAUCCCACUCCCUGUACCUGAGGUUUUCAUUAUUUUCUAAUAGUUCCACACCUCAGAAUGUUAAAGGAGUGGCUUCUCUACCUCUGGACCCAGCGCUUGUCUGGUCUUUAAGAUAAUCCAUUUCCCCUGAUAUCCUAGUCUGGUGGACCCCCUUUGAGGCCUUUGCUGUAUUUUUUAAAAAUGAUGAUUAAUAAUAAGGACACAAAAUGUUUCAUUAAGCAAAUUUUAGUGUUUCAUUUAUGUCCUGAAGAUGACAAGGACUUUGAGAGCUAUUUGGGGAAGGCAUAAACUCUGGAAGGUUCUACCAAGCUGGAAAGGCUUCCAGUGUUAUCUCACUGAUGUAUAUCUGACAUCUGAGGACCAGCCUGACUAGAGGAGGCAACAAUGAUGUGGUAAAAACAAUGCUGGAUUUGGGUUAACAGUACUUAGAUUGAAUUCUUAGCUCUACUACUUACUUACUUACUUAGUUCUACUACUUGUAUGAUCCUGGUCAAGUCACUUGAGGUCUUCCAGCCUUAGUUUCCAUAUCUGUAAAAUGAGGGGAUUGGAUUACAUGGUCUCUGGGAACACUUCUAGUUCUAUAUCUAUGACUUAUGAUUCUAGAUUUGAAGAGAUUUAUCAUUAGUUUGGGACCAAGAUGGUUAUCUUUGAUCUUAUAGCCUCUCUCAAAGACUAUCUACUAAGUAAGAGAGAAUUUAUAGCCUGAAUCUUUAGACACACAUUCAUGAAAUCAUAGGUCUUUGGGUAUCAAAGUAUAAGGGAGCAAAGGCUAAAUAAAACAAAUUACAGAGUAAAAAAUUGGGAAGGUGAUGAAGCACAGAAUUCUUUGCUUUAAGGAUCCUUUAUCAAUCUCUAGGGCCAAGUAGCCUCUAGUGCCAUCUGACCCUGUCUUCACCAUUUCACUAGCUUAUUAUUCAGGUUGGCAUUCCAUGACCUCUUCUACUUCUGCUCUCACUAGUGUAUAAUUUUUGUAAAAUACAGGAUUUAAAAUUUUUUUGAGAGAUAUUUCAGGAGAAGAAGCUCUUUAAUUUCUUAAAUCAAGAAAGUGAACUGUUUGGAGAAAGUGCCAUAAAGAAGCUUGCAGAAACUACACACUGCAUCAGAAGAUCCAGAAUGAACUUUGGGAUGUAGUCAACCGAACUGAAGGGGGUUAAACACAUAUUUUGGAUAUAAACUCUUAUGCUAAAGGGAAUUGCCCCCUAAUUGACUUUUUGUCAAUGCACUUAGCAAUCAUUGUUCUUCCUCUCUCUUUUAUUUCCCUCUUGUCUCCAUCUAUUGUAAUUUCCUCUUUGAUAGUGCAAUAUUGUAUGUACCUUUAGUUAGAAGAUCUUUAGAGGUAUAAACUAGUUAAGUGAAAUGAUUUAUUGGGGAGACUAGGCAUGUAAAUCUGGGAGAUUUCAACAUGUUCAUCUCCCAAUAGAAUCAUAGGGGGGAUUGUGAAGCUAGUCAGACCAUGUUAGUCUCUUCUUUAUAUCCCUUUUUUCCAUCUCAUUUCUUGUCUCUCCCCUUCUUCACAGAAAACAGUUGCAGUCUUUCAAUUUGCCUAGCACAGCCCAGGGCUGGGCAGUGCUCUUUGGAGGUGAGAGUUUUCUCUACAAGCAUUCAUAUAAUUCCUACAUACCAUGAUUGCGUACCUACUGAAGACAGAAACACGGAGAUUCCUGCAUACAUUAAGGUCUUUGUCUGACUUCUGCUUCUAUCAACUCCUUCCACACAUAAAUAUACAUCCUUGAAUAUUUACAUCAUGAAUGGAAAGAACAUUUGAUUUUAACAUCAGAGGACCUGGGUUUAAAUACUCUCUGCUAUUAUUUCUUGAACUUUGGGCAAGUCCUUUUAGCUUUCUUGGCCUCAGUUUCCUCAUUUGUAAAAUGAGCAGGUUGGACUAGAUGACCUCUAAAGUCCCUUCUAGCUAUAAGUCCUAUAACAAUAAUUGUGCAUAUUCAUAUAUUGCUUUAGAAUUUCCCAUUCAAGUUGUUGAUCCCUGUGAGGUAAGUGGUACAAGUAUUGUCAUCUCCAUUUGACAGAUGAGGAAGACGAGGCUCAUAAAAGUGAAGUAGCUUUCUAGGGUUAUACAGAUCAGAAGAAGGUUUCCAACAUGGGUCUCUUCCCACUUUAGGUCCAGUACUUAUUGCACUAAGGUAUACCCCUUUCUGAUGGAGCGCCAAGCUCGUUCCAGUCUUCCCUUUCCAUGUAAGUUCUAUUCCUCAAACACUUACUCUGCUUCAACUCUGGUAUGUUUCUUAUCAAGAUUAAGUGACCCAUCUGUGUCCCAGUGUCUUUUUCUGAUGGUGCUUCCUCCAGUCCCAUCUAGUGGCUUUUUGCCCAUUGACCUGGGGUCAUUAUCUGCCCUUACCAUAUGGACUAUGAAGAAAGACAGUGACAGCUUCCAGCCUGAGGCAGAUCCCCAUCUGGCCUAGACCUAUCAGUCAGAACCCAACAUAGCUGAGGGAGGAUGCUCGGUCAAACAGAUGGGUCAGGCAACAGCAGAAACCUGAAAUGAGUUCCAUAAAUAACCAGUCACCACUCUCCAACAACAGACCAGAUGUGAUGCCACGAUCAAGGCACUAUUACUUUAGAGAAGUGUGGUGAUGCUGGUAAUGUGUGUGUGUGUGUGUGUGUGUGUGUGUGUGUGUAUGUGUGUGUGUGUGUGUGUGUGAGAGAGAGAGAGAGAGAGAGAGAGAGAGAGGUGGAGUGAGGAGGGUUGCUCGUAAAUCAGAUGAUUUUACCACUUUCAUCCCUGAAGAUCUGAAAGAAUAAUUUCCCAGAAAUUCCAGCUGUGAAACUGAUUUGGAUAAAUUACCCUCCAUGCCUCAGUUUUCUUUUAAAUUUACUUUUUUUUGAUAUCUUUUGUUUUUACAUUAGUUAUAGUUUCCAUUUUAACCCUUAUUCUUCCCCAUCCCAGAAACAUCCUUUAUAAAAGAAUUUAAAAAAUGGAAAAAAUACAAUUCAGCAAAACUAACCAACAACAUGAAAAACCCUUGCAUUACAUUACAUUGCAUUGCAUGCCGUGUUUUACAUUCUUAGCUGUCAUCUCUGCCAAGAAGGUAUCAUCUCUCUUCUCCUAAGCCAAGCUUGAUCAUUAUAAUUUUGUGAUAUUCAGUUUUGAUCAUUCUGUUAUUGUUCUUUCCAUUUACAUUGCUGUAGCCACCUUGUAUAUCAUUCUCUUGAUUCUACUUUCUUCACUCUAUAUUACUUCAUAUAAGUUUCCAUUGCUUCUUUUUAUUUAUCAUAUCCAUCAUGACAUGGCUAAAGUAAUAUUCCAUUACAUUUAUCUACUAAGAUGUAUUCAUCUAUUCCAAUUGACGGAUGUCUAUUUCCCACCCCAUCCCCAAUUCUUUAGUAAGCUACAAAAUAGUUUUCUCUUUUUUAAAAUAGGAGAGAAUACUUCCUGCCAUUUUUCUUUUUAUGUUUGUAACAUGCUUGAGAAACCAUGGGGUGUUAGGUGGGUCACUGUUAAAUGAAGGGACUGGACAAUCUCCCAACUCUAAUGUUCUAUGAUUCUCUAGGAAAGGGGGUGGUGAUGAAAUGGGUAUUCCCAGGGGAGUCACUUUCACUCUUUGAGGACACUGAAGCUUGGCAACUCAGAGCUUCUUCAGAGGUGUUGACUCAUCAGGGUGGGGCAAUGGGCAGAGAAUAGUCUGUGGAGGUUAGGGCUGAUGGGAAUAGUUAGAGGAAAAGAAUAUUGGCAGAAGCACAAAGUGGAAACCCAUUGAUUAAUUUAUAUCUAGAGAGUAAUUUAUUCACAUGACAUUACCUGGUUAGACCCUUCUGUAGGGUUGUCAUCUUUUGGGAGGCUAUUAACUAAGGUAUCAUUUAGUAUACUGAAAUAACAAUGGGAGAGAGAGAGAAAGAGGGAGAGGUUGAAAGAGGUAGAGGAAAAGAGAGAGUGAGAGAGAGAAAGAGACAGAUAGACAGACAGAGAAUUGAGUAGGGUGAGAAGUCCAGGAUUCUGGUCUUGACUUUGCCACUUCCUAACCUUGUGAUCUUGGACUUCACUUGGGUGGUCUCCAUGUCCUCAUCUAUUAAAUGAGGGAGUGUUGUAAAGUGCUAUGGAAAGAAAGUUGGAUUUUCCAAGUGAAGCCCUUGAUUCAGAUCUUCAUUCUUGCUUUUUCCUAGACUUAUAUUAUAUUGGGCAAGUCAUUUCUUCCUUCUGGUGCUGUUUCCUAAUGUCAAAUGACAGAGCGCUCUUGUGCAAUGAAAAGAGCAUUAAAUUCAGAAUAAGAAGACCUAGAUUCAAAUCUUGGUUCUGGUGCUUACUACAAAUCUGAUUUUGGAAAAAUCGCUUUAUCCCUCCUGGAACUCAGUUUCCUUUCUUGUUAGAUGAAGGAGUUGGGCUGAUCUCAUUUCUUUUUUUUUUCCUUUUUAAAUUCUUGGCAUUUAACAAAUACUCUCUUCUCCAAAUCAUCACAUCCAUAUACAAAUUAGAACAGAAAUGGGAAUUGUCUAUGAAAUUGCAAAUCUCUAUUACACACAAUUUGUUAAAAAAAAAAACCCAAGCAUAUAAAUAAAUUAAACUUACUUUCAAAACA